rnacentral:lncRNA from 1 species
GUUGAAUCAUGAGGAGGCUGGCAAAAGGGCCCUCUCCUCAUGAGGUCUGGUUAAUAUCAGGAAUUAUUGCCUCAAACGCUGCAGGUUCAACCUGGAUCAGAAGCCAAGACCAAUGCCGCACUUGGAAGGGACGACCAAUAGUUCUGUGUUCCUGACCUGUCUUACAGUCUUUCGCUUCUAUCCGCAGUGGACCAUUUGGCUGAUCACGUCACUCUACAGCUGUUCUGCCACAUUUGAGCACCCACAUUAAAGACAAAAGUUGGGGAGAUAAUGAAGAGGCAAGACAGCAAUAUGGGAUUGGCUGGAAAGAUGACAGACUGCAUAUGCACAUCAAAUAAAUUCCAAACGCAGCCAUCUAUUCCCAAGGUUUGGACAAAACAAAGGAACGAAUGUGGAACAGAAGUUUCAAAGACCUCUACGGAAAGAUAAAGUUCUCGGAGGUAUCAACCUCAUAUGAAAGGGUCUUUUAAAAGGUCAUUUUAUUAAAGCUAUGGAGAAGAAAUAACCUUCGGAAA